AGUUGAUCAUGGCUCAGGAUGAACGCUAGCUACAGGCUUAACACAUGCAAGUCGAGGGCAGCAUAACGAAAGCUUGCUUUGUGAUGGCGACCGGCGCACGGGUGAGUAACGCGUAUCCAACCUUCCCUAUAGUAGAGAAUAGCCCGGCGAAAGUCGGAUUAAUGCUCUAUGUUCUUCUUUGAUGGCAUCUGACGAGAAGCAAAGGUUCACCGCUAUAGGAGUGGGGAUGCGUCUGAUUAGGUAGUCGGCGGGGUAACGGCCCACCGAGCCGACGAUCAGUAGGGUUCUGAGAGGAAGGUCCCCCACAUUGGUACUGAGACACGGACCAAACUCCUACGGGAGGCAGCAGUGAGGAAUAUUGGUCAAUGGGCGAGAGCCUGAACCAGCCAAGUAGCGGUGCAGGAUGACUCGCCCUAGUUGGGUUAGUAAACUGUCUUUUAGUAGGGGAAUAAAGUGAGGUACGUGUACCUUUUGUAUGUACCCUAUGAAUAAGGACCGGCUAAUUCCGUGCCAGCCGCUGC
rnacentral:rRNA from 1 species